rnacentral:rRNA from 1 species
CACGUAGGGGCCAAGCGUUGUCCGGAUUUAUUGGGCGUAAAGAGCUCGUAGGCGGCUCGGUAAGUCGGGUGUGAAACCUCCAGGCUCAACCUGGAGACGCCACCCGAUACUGCUGUGGCUAGAGUCCGGUAGGGGAGCGUGGAAUUCCUGGUGUAGCGGUGAAAUGCGCAGAUAUCAGGAAGAACACCCGUGGCGAAGGCGGCUCUCUGGGACGGUACUGACGCUGAGACGCGAAAGCGUGGGGAGCGAACAGG